rnacentral:rRNA from 1 species
CAGUAGCCGCGGUAAUACGUAGGUGGCAAGCGUUGUCCGGAAUUAUUGGGCGUAAAGGGCUCGCAGGCGGUUUCUUAAGUCUGAUGUGAGAGCCCACGGCUCAACCGUGGAGGGUCAUUGGAAACUGUUAAACUUGAGUGCAGGAGAGAAAAGUGGAAUUCCUAGUGUAGCGGUGAAAUGCGUAGAGAUUAGGAGGAACACCAGUGGCGAAGGCGGCUUUUUGGCCUGUAGCUGACACUGAGGCGCGAAAGCGUGGGAGCAAACAGGAUUAGAUACCCGAGUAGUCCCUGUCUCUUAUACA